rnacentral:rRNA from 1 species
UACGGAGGAUGCGAGCGUUAUCCGGAUUUAUUGGGUUUAAAGGGUGCGCAGGCGGCGUGUCAAGUCAGCGGUAAAAUGUCGGGGCUCAACCCCGGCCGGCCGUUGAAACUGGCGUGCUCGAGUUGGAGAGAAGUAUGCGGAAUUUGUGGUGUAGCGGUGAAAUGCAUAGAUAUCACGAAGAACCCCGAUUGCGAAGGCAGCAUACCGGCUCCACACUGACGCUGAGGCACGAAAGCGUGGGUAUCGAACAGG